UCUGAAGUGAAUUUUAGCUCUCAGUCCUAUGAAUAAUUACCAAUAUGAUGAAUAUUUUUGAAUUGUAUGCUCCUUAAGGGUAGAGACCAUAUCCUAACUUGUGUGGCUACAAAUCCCCUGUGUUGCCUUGAAUACAAUAAAAUCCUCAAUUAAUAUGUGAUCAGUGAUUGAAAGCCAUGUAAACUCUUUUUCUUCCAGACUUUUUUUUUUUUGGAUGGCACUGUGGAAGAAUUUCACACUGCGAUAUCAUACUUACAUAAUGGACCCACCCACACAUGUUCUCCUACAGAACUCGCUCUCUUGGAUUGUUUCUUUGCAAAGGGUACAUCAAGGACAAUCUGUCUUUCAAAUGAAAAGCAUGAAACUUCAAUUGUCCUCAGAUCCAGAAACCAUUUUUACAAUUGGAAUCUUUAAGGAUUGGACGACCUCCAAAAGCAGACCAGGAAAACUCCCAGGAUGCCAGACCAUUAGGCAGAGCUUCAAGAGUUUCGUGGGCACUGCUCUUGCCUACCAUCAUUUCCCACUCACCCUGGAAAGUGCAAGUUCUAUCAUAGGUUACUGGGCAAGUUCCUGAUGAUCCUAUGGGGCAUGCCAGUUUUGUUUGCUUUCCAUGUAACAAUUACCAAUCUCAAACUUUUCUUUCCUGCUUUUUAAUUCUCUGAUAUAUUUAUUUCACUAAAUGCUGGUUUAAUCCUGCCUUGUGCCUUUUAAAAAAGCUCUUUUUUUCUUUAUUUAUGUAUCCUUUAAAAAAAAUUAAAAUCCUUCCUUUUGGUUUUAGUAACAACUCUAAGAUAGAAAGGCAAGGGCUAGGAGAAUGGUGUUAAGUGACUUGCCUACAGUUGCACAGCUAGGAAGUAUCUGAGACCAUAGUUGAACCAGGUCCUUCCAACUCCAGACUGGUGCUCAAUCUACUGUGCUGCUCCUUUUUUCUUUUUAAAAGACAAUAUGUUUCUACCAUGACCUCGGUGGCUAACUCAUUAGUAUUGCUUACUAUUGUUCAGUCCUUUCAGGCAUGUCUAUUGCUAUGUGACCCAAUUUGAUGUUUUCUUGGCAAAUACAUUGGAGUCAUUUGCCAUUUCCCUGUCUAGUUCAUUUUAGAGAGGGGGAAACUGAGGCAAACUGAGACCUUGCCUGGAGUCACACGGCUAAUAUGUGUCUGAGGGCAGAUCUGAACUCUUUGUCUUCCUGAUUUCAGGUCCAGUGCUCAAUCCACGGUGCCAUCUAGCUGCUUUCAUUAGUAAUGCUAUCUAUUCAAAAAUUAUUUUGGGGAAUGUGAUUUUGACAAAUAAUUGCUUAUUCUGUGGAUAAAGAAAUACACAUUGCCAAAGAUAUAAUGUUGGUCACUUUUUGGUAAGUAAGCCCUGAGAGAGGAAGUAGAAACUGCACAUUUACUUAGAACUAUUUGCCCCAGAAACUUCUGAAGAGUCUAAUAAAACCUUCUUCAUUUGGACUUCA
rnacentral:lncRNA from 1 species